AGAGCCCCUAGAAGCUUCAUAGGUGUGGUGGCUGUGUCAUAUGUGCUUCUGUAGCUGACAGAGAGGAUAUGUCUACAUACUCAUUGUUCUGACCUAUGAACAUCUGAACGAUAAAUAGCUUACAUU